AGCAGUAGCCGCGGGAAUACGUAGGGUGCGAGCGUUAAUCGGAAUUACUGGGCGUAAAGCGUGCGCAGGCGGUUGUGUAAGACAGGUGUGAAAUCCCCGGGCCUAACCUGGGAACUGCGCUUGUGACUGCACAGCUAGAGUAUGGCAGAGGGGGGUGGAAUUCCACGUGUAGCAGUGAAAUGCGUAGAGAUGUGGAGGAACACCGAUAGCGAAGGCAGCCCCCUGGGCCAAUACUGACGCUCAUGCACGAAAGCGUGGGGAGCAAAUGGGAUUAGAUACCCCGGUAGUCCCUGUCUCUUAUAC
rnacentral:rRNA from 1 species